UUUAGAUGAAAAUGAUAAUAUUUUAGAUUUUAACGAAAUCUGUCCGAUUCAUGUAUAUAAUGAAGACUUUAUAAAAGAAAACUUUAUUUUUGCUA
rnacentral:snoRNA from 1 species